rnacentral:rRNA from 1 species
GAAGGUCACGGCGAGACGAGCCGUUUAUCAUUAUCAUUACGAUAGGUGUCAAGUNGGAAGUGCGGUGAUGCAUGCAGCUGAGGCAUCCUAACAGACCGGUAGACUUGAAC